ACGCGAAUCCUGCAGGCGGUUCCCUCGAAGCGCCCCCGAAACCUUCCAUCCUUUCGUUGUUGCUGAGCCACCCAUCGGAGGAUCCCUGCGCCAUUCUCCGACUCGCGAUUUGUCCAGCCACCACCGACCGGAGGCGCGCCCACGCGCUCCAUCCCUACGCAGAACGCGCCUGACCCAAACCAUUGUGCAGAUCCCCCAAGGGCCAUUGCCGCCACCACCCCUUGUCAAUAUCCUUUGUGAUCCAUCCGAGGUGACGUCCAUGCCCGUCCCCUUGAUCUUCCUAAUCUGAAUCACAUGGCCAGAGCAAGAUCGGUGUUUUGAGUUGAUACUUGCCCAGCCAUGGUGACCUCGCGGCUGCAGCUGACUGUUCUUGGAUUUCAGAUGGAGCGGACCAGAUUCACAUAUGCACUGUCGAAUGGUCGAAACGUCCUUCCUGUGUUUCUACUUUCUACGCUAAAAAUAGCUAUGUGUUCCGUAGCCCGCUACUUAUUCUGAAAAUGGUGUAUUUGACUAUUGAAUUUGUUUAGCUGUUGAACUUGACUGAGGUGGGAGAACUAAAUGUGGAAGGCAUGAAGCCAAAAAGUGAUUAAUUAAAUGAUUGACCAUGAAAUUUUCUCCUAACUAAAAACGUUCCAUGGAAGUGUUUGAUUUACUACCAUAGUGAUUGGUCUUUAUGGAAUUGGUCUAUUCUAAAGGAGGCACUUAAUUGACUUCUGUAGGGCAUGUAUUUCCUCUUCUUUGUUUUUGCUAAAAACGGGAAACCAAUCUACCGGUCUAGCUUUUUUUUGCUAUUAGAAUUGGCUGUGAACAAGUAUAUCCCCUUUCAAAAUAGUAGCUAAUAUCUUAAAAUUUAUGUGAUUUUUUUGCCAGCUCAAAUGGCCUUUUAUUGAUGCGAAACAUGUGCGUAUAUCUCUGUCAGCAUAGCGUCAACUCUCUGUUUAGAUCUGAUGAAUAUUAUUUUGUCUCAUAUUGGUUUACCUGGUUUUUAAUCAUUCUUGUGGGGAUCGCGGUGGUAGCAGAAAAGCGAGGCAACUAUGUGAAGGAGGCUUAUGCGAACCUUCCUGUUAUGUCUAGCUCCACUGAAAUUAUGGCCCAACAAUGUGGAUGCUGCACACCAAAGGAGGUUUUGCUCCUUCACUUGCUUCUGGUAAGUUCUAGCCUGAAUUGCUACAUCCACUCUUCACAAAAAACUGAGAAAUCCAAGUAUUUCGUCGGAAAAGCCGUUGACAAUAGAGGUUGGUAAGAUUUCUGCAAAGAAGUGUCCUUCUUUGAUUUUAAGACAUGCAUAUUAGCCAGUGGCUCAAUUCAAGAACAAUGCUCUCUCACCGCGAACAACACAAUCCUGGUUAAUGGUUGACAAGUGGAGCAAAAGGUUACUCUGAAGCUGCAUUUUCAUCAUCGUUAGGAAAUGUUUAGGGAUUUGUUUGAGUUGCCAUGGAGGAACCUCAUUUAUCUUUCUCUUGUAUUCCUCCUAGAUCAUAUAGGAAUUUGAUUUAUUAAAGGUACAUUAUUUUGUAGCCCCCAAAAAGGCACAUACAUGCCCAUUGCAUAAGGCAUGACUUAUCUUGUUUAUAUUACCUGUUCUUCCGAGUUUCAAGGGCAAAAGUUCUCAUGUUGACAUAGAGGAAACUCUUGUAACAAUGAAUAUAUAUGUGUUGACGACGAUUCUGAUUGCCUACAUAAAACAGUGUAUAUUUCCGGUUGUAGCUUCUUUUAGGUGCCAUAUUGUGUAUGGUGAUGAUGUAGCUUCUAUCAAUAUUUGGUCACAUCAGAGCAAGGUCAAGAAACAUUUUCCGUUGUAUUAUGUAUAACGAUGAUGUCUUUGAUGAAAAGAUUCUCAUCAACUUUGGUA